rnacentral:rRNA from 1 species
UGCCCAGACUCCUACGGGAGGCAGCAGUGGGGAAUCUUCCGCAAUGGGCGAAAGCCUGACGGAGCAACGCCGCGUGAUCGAAUGAAGGCCUUCGGGUUGUAAAGAUCUGUUGACAGGGGCGAAUAAGCAAUGCGAAUAGUUUUGUGUAUGACGGUACCUGUUUAGAAAGCUCCGGCUAACUACGUGCCAGCAGCCGCGGUAAUACGUAGGUGGCAAGCGUUGUCCGGAUUUACUGGGCGUAAAGGGCGUGUAGCCGGGAAGGCAAGUCAGAUGUGAAAUCCGGAGGCUCAACCUCCGAAUUGCAUUUGAAACUGUUUUUCUUGAGUACUGGAGAGGCGGACGGAAUUCCUUGUGUAGCGGUGAAAUGCGUAGAUAUAAGGAGGAACACCAUUGGCGAAGGCGGUCUGCUGGACAGCAACUGACGGUGAGGCGCGAAAGCGUGGGGAGCAAACAGGAUUAGAUACCCUAGUAAG